UCAGACUCUUAUCUCUUUCUCUUCUUCUGAAAAAAUAAACCAUCUCUUUCUCUAGUCUCUCUCUCUCUCUCUCUCUCUCUCUCUCUCUCUCUUGUCUUACUACUCCAUAUUCACCAUGAUCAAUUAACCUGGAUAGUCUGAAUCGUAAGGAAUAGAUCCCGGAUCCCCCUAUCAGAUUCAACUCUGGUCUAUCAAUUUAACCUACCCUCUAUUUUUGAAUUAGGGAUUGUGAUUUCUUAUGCGAUUGUGGUUUUUCUUUGCAGCAAGAGAUUAAUUGAAGAGAUUUCAUACUGUGUUCGUGGAGAGCGAGGUUGCGAAUCACCUCGGAUGAAAGAAGCCAUCGACCAUUAAAACUCGUUCCUCGUGCUUCAACCCGAGACCAUGGAGAAGCUCCAGCGACAACACAAUCAGCACUGAGUAGGAGGCUGAAACCAUGGCAGUGAUUGAACCCAAGAAGAUCAUCAUUGAGAUCCUAGUAUCGAUUUCGGCCAAGUCAAUUGCAGACUGAAGCUGCUCUAUUUGCUUCCCCAUGUACUGCAAAGAAGCAAUAGGACUCGAUACUGGACCAUGAAUAGAAGCAAUUGUUGACCGGGAAAAAAAAAAAAAAAAAAAAAAAAAGCAAUUGAAACUCUGAUUCCUACCAGUUGGUCCCACCAUGUCAGAAUUGCAAAAGAAGCCACGCACAACAAAACUAAGACAAUUAAGGAGAAAGCAACCCCUCUACAGCGCACUGACCCAAAAAAAUGUGGCUGCAGCGUGGCAAUGGGUAAUAGACACGCACAUGUGUGUCCUUUGGCCCAAAUAUGUCACGAAUGUGUAUGUGGCCAUUGCCAAUAAUUGUAGUAGUGUCACAUCUUCCGUGAAGCAAACGGUGUAGUCAAUAGGUUAGCGUACCUUGCUAGUUUUAAUUAUAUUUCUGAUGUAUGGUUAGAUGAGACUCCUGUUAUUAUUCAGGAUGUUCUCUAUGAGGAUGUUAAUUUGUAAUCCUUCUAAUGUAGCACGGGGUUCAGGUACUAUGUCCCCCCCUGUUGCAAAGUAUUAAUUCAAUAAAUGGAAUCGGGCGUGGGGCUAAGCCUCCCAGCU